GAGGAGUGCACGAUCUUGGCACACAAAGACGCAGCGAUUAUGAGGGUUCUUGAGGCUCGGGAUGGGAAGGGGCGGCUGAUUGGGAUGAACGUAGGGCUCAUAGAACCGACAGGUGAAGUGUGCUAUGAUGGUCAGGUUUUGAAA